CGGGGGGGGCAAGCGUUGUUCGGAAUUACUGGGCGUAAAGGGCUCGUAGGCGGCCAACUAAGUCGGACGUGAAAUCCCCAGGCUCAACCUGGGAACUGCGUCCGAUACUGGAUGGCUUGAAUCCGGGAGAGGGAUGCAGAAUUCCAGGUGUAGCGGUGAAAUGCGUAGAUAUCUGGAGGAAUACCGGUGGCGAAGGCGGCAUCCUGGACCGGCAUUGACGCUGAGGAGCGAAAGCCAGGGGAGCAAACGGGAUUAGAUACCCCGGUAGUCCUGGCCCUAAACGAUGAAUGCUUGGUGUAACGGGUAUCGAACCCUGUUGUGCCGAAGCUAACGCAUUAAGCAUUCCGCCUGGGGAGUACGGUCGCAAGGCU
rnacentral:rRNA from 1 species